AGAGUUUGAUCCUGGCUCAGAUUGAACGCUGGCGGCAUGCCUUACACAUGCAAGUCGAACGGUAACAGGUUAAGCUGACGAGUGGCGAACGGGUGAGUAAUGUAUCGGAACGUGCCCAGUCGUGGGGGAUAACUGCUCGAAAGAGCAGCUAAUACCGCAUACGACCUGAGGGUGAAAGCGGGGGAUCGCAAGACCUCGCGCGAUUGGAGCGGCCGAUAUCAGAUUAGGUAGUUGGUGAGGUAAAGGCUCACCAAGCCGACGAUCUGUAGCUGGUCUGAGAGGACGACCAGCCACACUGGGACUGAGACACGGCCCAGACUCCUACGGGAGGCAGCAGUGGGGAAUUUUGGACAAUGGGCGCAAGCCUGAUCCAGCCAUGCCGCGUGCGGGAAGAAGGCCUUCGGGUUGUAAACCGCUUUUGUCAGGGAAGAAAAGGUUCUGGCUAAUACCUGGGACUCAUGACGGUACCUGAAGAAUAAGCACCGGCUAACUACGUGCCAGCAGCCGCGGUAAUUC
rnacentral:rRNA from 1 species